UUCCAUCGCCAAGAAACCUCAAUUCUCAGUCUAAGAGAGUGGUGACAGUUGGCCACUUCCAGACCAUCUUCUGGUGGCCAGAGUCUUAUUUUUGUGUAGGUUAGGUAAGACUUUCUUAUAAUUAUAGCAGUUGGGUUUUCUCCCUUUGUUAUUAGUCUUUUUUGUUGACAAACACACUUAGGGUACACAUCAUACCAUAAUAUGGAAUACAUAUUGUUUUGAUAUCUGUAUACAUUGCAAAAUGGCUAAAACAAACCAAUUAAUGAAUGCAUUACCUCAGACACCAUUUUUUUGGGUAAUGGUACUACUCACUUAGCAAUUUUCAGGUCACAAUGCAUUGCUAUUUACUGUGGUCAUAAUGUUGUACAAUUUACAGGUGUGUGUGUGUGUGUGUAUUAAAUUUUGCCAUAAGAAUUCCUUUUCCACUAUUAUGGAACCCCAAAAGAUGAAACAUAUUAAAGAAUUGCUGCUAAUGUAGGGCAGCUAAUGCCCUGGCAGCUUGGCUCCCCUUUGCUGGGCUCACAGGAAUCCAUUCUGUCUCUGCUACAUAGCCCUCCCUACUAUGUGCUUGCUUGAAGCCAAUGGACCACCAGAGUCCCCUUUACAAAUCCAGUCUCCUGAAUAUCUCUUCACAUCUACCAAAUCAGCAAGUACCUCCAAGGGUGGGUGACAGCAGAGGAGAUCAUCUGCUUUGUAUUUAUCAUCGUCCACUUUUAUUUUGUGGACACCUUCAUUGUUCCAUGGAUGACAAACAGGAAAAUUUUGUUCCUGUUGUCCAAGAGGACAUUUUAGUGGAGUCUACCUUGGGUAAAAUUCUCAGUACCUGUCUCUUUCACUCAGUGACCAAGAUGGACCAAAAUCUCAGACCCAAGUAAAAAAUGUACAGAAUUUCCUACCAGGUGAAUAAAUACCUAGUAGAACCAGUGGUGUCAGAAGACCAGGGUCUGAGCACCUAUCCCCUCAGCCUUAAAAACUCAAGUGACGGAGAUUUCUCAGAAGCAGAUUGGUGUGGUGACAAAGACAUAGUUUCUGGAGUCUGGCAAACUAGGACAUACCUAGUUCAACUUCAGGUGUCUGUUUCCCCAUCUGUUUGUGGGAAUAUUAAGGUUCUUGAUGAGCUGCUUGGGAAGAUAAUGAGAAAUCAUAAAGCUUAAGAAGGUGCCUGGCACUUGGUGAACUCUUGGAAAAUGCUUGCUGUUCCCCCCAAUAAGUAUGGAAUUUAAAUUCCAAAAGUUCCCCUUAGCAAGAGAGGAAGCUACGAAUGGAGGAUCAGAUAGUUAACUCUCCAUGAUCCUAAGGAAAAGUGGAGAUGAAGCCGGAGAAGCAUGGGGUAUGGGGUGGGGGGAGGAAAAGAAUCAUGAAUAUUCACAUUUAUUAGGUUUUAAUCAUGUUCCAGUGACUAGACUAGAAUCUGAUUUCAUUACCUCAUUUAAUCCUCACAAAACUCCAUCAGAAAGGUACUGUUACCAUUCUUACUUUGCAGAUGAGGAAGCCGAGCCUCAUAAACUUGAUAAGGUAACUUGGCAAAGCCACUCAGUGAAGCAAGUAGCUGGAGCUCAGACCCAUCCAUGUCACUCCAAAACAAGAUCUCUUAACCACAGCCCUCUCCAGAGAAGUGAAGCUUAGCAGUCUGCUGAGAUCUGGAUUUUAAAUAUCUUCUCUAGACAUGAAAAGUCAAGAUCAGUUCUAGAAGACCACUGGAAAUGAGAGUAUCCCUGAGAAGAGUGAAAAUGAAAGGUUGAAGUGAGUAUGAGAUACACGAAUAGGUCUAGCUAUUCAGAGGCCAGUCUUCAGCACCUUCCCGUCAAUACCAAAUAUUUUAAAAGCUAAAUGUUCAGAAUAAAAAUUGAGGGGAAACCCACUGGAAAAGCUGUGACUUGUUCACGUCUGGGAAGUCAUGUGGCUCUUUUGAAAUAAAGGUCACUCUGCCACUCGACAAGCUUAGUGACACUGGGCAGGCUAAAUACCCCAUGAGAAGUCCUUAGACAUCUGGAUCCAGAAAUACAGGAACAGAGCAGAGAACCGCAGUAUUGAGGAGAGCAUGAAAUAUGGGUGUUGAGAGCCGAGGUGAAGCCUAAUUGGGGCUGGGGGUCACUAUCACUUUCUCCAUUCUCAUUCUUCAUAAGCAAUUUAGAAUGUCUCAGAGUUACCGACCAGACUGCUGUCCCUAAAUGCCUUCCAGAUAGAAAUUAGGUAUUCUGGACCCACCCAUGCCCUUGGAGAGAAAGAAAGCAUCUAGAAACCUCCUGAAAGUGAUAUCAGAGAGGUGACAAGCACAUCCACUGGAACUAUGCAAAAACUCAUUUGCAUAAAUAAGUUAUCUAUUCAGUCCAUUCAAAACAUGCACCUGCACAUCGGUGGAAUGUUAUGAAAGAAAGCCUUUGGAAUUAUUUCUGAACAAUUUCGUAUUUGGGGAAUAUCUAAGUGAAAUCUCCCUACUUCUAGGACAGCAUAUCUCUGAUUUUUCUCCCCACUCCUAUUCUGAGCAACCACAUGUCAGUUCAGGGUUUGAAAUUAGUCAGUCUCUCUUUCUGGACAAGGACAGUCUAUCACAUUGUCCUAUUUUGAGACUCAGUUUCUUUUAUGACAAUGCCCCAGGAAAGUUUUAUGAGAGUCCUGAUUUAAGGUUGGAGGUUAAUCGCUCUGAAAUUCUGAGAACCAAAAAAUAUUGUGUAGGUGGGUGUACAGUAAAACUGAAAACAGGAAGUCUCCCGUACACUGAACCCAAAUCUGCAUCAUCAGUACAUCUGAAAACUUCUCUUGGGAGGAGAGUCCUGCUGUGCAUGGGACCAGCCACCCUCUGCUCACUUCCUUGUGAUGGAGGCCUUUGAGCUCUGGGGAAGAAUGGAAUAAGAAGGGCCAGGGGCAGAAGUCACCAUGACCGGGUGAGUGUGAAAGAAAGCCAUGUCUCGCUUGCUGUGGACUCUCUCCGUCAACACCAAAACACUUCCAAGUCGACUCCAGGUUUACAGUCCUCAAAUUCAUCAGUCCGUGGUUCUCUGGGAGUUGCCAGGACCACCAGGGCAGAAAAUCUCAGGGAGUUCAAUCUGGGAUCUCACAAUUGUGAGUAGGGGAGCAGAGCGCUUGACAAAUACCUGGUUUUUGCUAAUCCAUUUUUUUCCCCAGCUUGGCAGGUCACCUUAACUUGAGGACUGAAUGCACAGCUGGGAAAAUAUGCUUCUUAUUAGGGAUCGGGCCAGUGCUCUGUGAACUUGAGCCUUGGCUGGGGGUAACAUUCUUUGAACAACCAGGUAAGACGAGCCUAGAAAGCCACAGCACCUUGCCAAGUAGAGACGUUAAUACCAAGCACCAAGACCCCAAGGGGUCACCACACAGCCCACUUGGAGGAGACCCACUCAUUCCUCUACGAUCUCUCUCCCUGCCUUAGAGUUGUUGGCAGCAAACACUGGGCAGAGGGCAGAGGUGCUGGGAAAGAGGAUAAAGUAAGAAGGAGAAGGAAAGAGGAGAGACAGAGAAAUUGCCGUGUGGUUUAUCUGGAUGAUCAGAGAGAAAUUUUCAAAUGCCCCCCAAAACUCACCUUGGUAAAAUGUCUUAACAUGUUAGACACAAUUGUACCCAAAUUUUAUACACUCAUACCCCAUUCUGUAUUUUCUCAGGCUUGUGAAUUUUUGAAAAAGUUGGGGCAAUGGGGAAAAUGUUAGUCAAAGUGUACAAAAUUUCAGUUAGGAGAAUUACAUUGGUAGUGAGAGAUUGCAUGUAGUAAUUAACUACAACCAAUAAUAAUGAAUUGUGUAUUUCAAAAUUGCUGAAAUGAUAGAGUUUAAAUGUUUCCAUGACAUAUAAGUAUGUGAAGUCAUGUAUAUAUUAAUGACUUAAUCAUCCCACAUAGAGUGAGAAUAUUAAAACACCAUACUUUCCCUACAAGCAUAUAGAACUAUUAUUUCUCAUUUAAAAAAUAAAGUUAAAUUAAGACAUAAUAAGAUAUCCCUCCAUGCUCAUCAGGUGGGUUUGUUUGUGUAUAUAAAAAUAAAAUAAUAAUUUAAAAAACCAGAAAAUAACAAGUGUUGGUGAGGAUGUAGCAGAAUAUGUGGAGAAAUGGGAAACCUGUGUACUGCUGCUGAGAUUGUAAAAUGGAGAGGCUAUGGAAAACAGUAGAGCAAUUCCUCAAAACAUAAAAGUGGAAUUGCCACGUGAUACAGGUUCUACUUCUGAGUAUAUACCCAAAAUCUGUGAAAUAAGGGACUCAAAUAGAUAUUUGUACAUCCAGAAUCAUAGCAGAUUAUUCACAAUAGCCAAAAGGCAGAACCAACUCAAGUAUCCAUAGAUAGGUGAAUUGAUAAACAAAAUGUGGGAGAUAUAUAUUAUAGUUUGGGAAAAGGUAUUUGCAAACCGUUCAACUGAUAAAGGGCUAAUAUCCAAAAUAUAUAUUUAAAAACUCCUUAAUACAUUAUAUAUUAUAUAUAUCGUUCUUCCCUUUAAAAAAGAGAAAUUGUGACAUAUGCCACAAAAUGUUAAACCUUGAAGUUAUCCUAAGUGAAAUAAGAACAAAUGUGGUAUAAUUUCAUUUAAGAGUACCUAGAAGAAUCAAGUGCACAGAGAGAGGGAAUAUGGAUACAGGGGAGGGGAGGUGGACAGAAGUGUUUGGGAGUGACAUUGGCC
rnacentral:lncRNA from 1 species